AAGUCGUAACAAGGUUUCCGUAGGUGAACCUGCGGAAGGAUCAUUAAUGAAUUUAAAUGACGGGGUUGUUGCUGGUCUCUCAGAGGCAUGUGCACACUCUGCUCACAUUCAUCCAACCCUUUACACCCUUGUGUACUUCUCAUAGGUUGGCUUAUUUUAAAGGGUUGUGCUUGCAUGACCUGGGCCUCUCUAUGUGCAUUAUACAAACUUUCAUGUCAUUGGAUGUAAAUGUUUAUUGCAAAUAAAUACAACUUUCAGCAACGGAUCUCUUGGCUCUC
rnacentral:misc_RNA from 1 species